rnacentral:rRNA from 1 species
GGGGGCACGGGGGGCCUACGGGGAGGCAGCAGUGGGGAAUUGUUCGCAAUGGGCGCAAGCCUGACGGACGCAACGCCGCGUGGAGGAUGAAGGUCUUCGGAUUGUAAACUCCUGUUGCCCGGGACGAAUGGCUCCGACCUAAUACGUUGGAGUGUGACGGUACCGGGUGAGGAAGCCCCGGCUAACUCUGUGCC